rnacentral:lncRNA from 1 species
CACAGGGAUGAUUCCACAGGAUGUUCGCAACGAUGUUCUAACAGAUGUUCGCACAAGAUGUUCCCACAGAUGUUCACAGAUGUUCCCACAGAUGUUCCCACAGAUGUUCUCACAGAUGUUCUCACAGAUGUUCUCACAGAUGUUCUCACAGAUGUUCUCACAGAUGUUCACAGAUGUUCCCACAGAUGUUCUCACAGAUGUUCUCACAGAUGUUCCCCAG